AAUUAUGCUAACAUAAAUAAAAAGGUUCACGUAUCAUGCAUUUGCUAGAACCUCACACAGGCCAGGGAAAUGAAACACGAAUAAGGAGUUAAGAGUAGAGACUACAUUCAAUUUAAAAGAAUGGGUCACAAGCAACGAUAUGAAAUAUCUUUUAGCAUUUCUACUUUGUACAAGACCAUGUGCAUUCAAACAGAUAUUGUCAAGGUUCUAUAAAUAAUUUUAAAAGAGGCAAUUUUGAUGAGGAUGGUUCAUCUGGAACAGCUUUGUAAUUGCAAGAGAAUCAAGACAGAUUGGUAAUCUUACAAGCCAUGGAUAAGCUGAUCUAGCAGAAGUCACAAGCACUUUCUUUUGGCCUAAGAAGAGCAGCAGCCACUCUUCUGCGCAACAGGCUGUCCUCGGAUCUGCACUGUUGGCGGCCUUGCAUCAUUCAAAGCUGGCUGGCUUGCCAUUCUGCAACCAUAAUAACACUCCAAGAUAAAUACAAACGCAAAAUGUAAUCAACAAUCUUUUAAGAAAUUAAGCUUAAGCAACUUUCAAAUGGAGUAUUUUCAGAGUUCAACUAAAAAUUACAAGAAUGGAAGAUUAGGAGCUCCCAGUAUGCAUCAACCAGAGAAACCUCAUCAAUGCUUCGUCUGAUAUCUUGGUUCACAAAUAAUCAUAUUUAAAAUUUUAUUUGAAUCUGCUCAUUUGGCUUGCAAUUGACAACCGCAUAGGGACCGUAAAGGUUUACCAGCUAGAUAAUUCAUGACAACUACAUAGGGUUUGAUCUUAGAGGUUUGCCAAAUUGAUAAUUCAUACUUCUAGCUGGCCUUCUGUUGACUUUCUCAUGGAAACAUUAGCCAUUGGUGCAUUCCACAGCUGACAAGCUAAGUGCAUAAUUGAAUUGAGAAGCAAUCUCACUUCUAAAUACAGCUUCCACAAGCAUUAUUGCUUCCAAAUUUGUUAUCGUGCUUGUUGUUUUUAUAGUAUGAUGAAUAUUACAACAGUACCUAUCCUUGAUAGCAGCAGCCAUCGCCAUGAAAGCUUGUUCCACAUUAGUAGAAUCUUUUGCACUGGUUUCCAUGAAAGGAAUACCUAUCUCAUCUGCAAAUGCCUAAAAGAGACAAGGCAAAAGUAAAAGAGAUGAGCUAUGGGAUGGAGGGAGAGAGGGGAAGAGAAAGACAAGUUCAACUACCAAUUUUCAAUUUUUAAUACAGAAAAAUCAGUACAAGAGACAGGAACUAGCUAGACCUUUGCCGUUUCAUAGGACACAACUUUAUUUGCAGUAAGAUCACACUUAUUUCCAACCAGAAGUUUGUUGACAUUAUCACUAGCAUAUCGAUCAAUUUCAUUUAGCCACUGCUUGACAUUAUUGAAGCUCUCUUGGUCUGUCACAUCAUAA
rnacentral:misc_RNA from 1 species